rnacentral:rRNA from 1 species
GGAGUACGGCCGCAAGGUUAAAACUCAAAUGAAUUGACGGGGGCCCGCACAAGCGGUGGAGCAUGUGGGUUAAUUCGAUGCAACGCGAAGAACCUUACCUACUCUUGACAUCCAGAGAACUUAGCAGGGAUGCUUUGGUGCCUUCGGGAACUCUGAGACAGGUGCUGCAUGGCUGUCGUCAGCUCGUGUACUGAAAUGUGGGGUUAAGUCCCGCAACGAGCGCAACCCUUAUCCUUUGUUGCCAGCG